GGAAAGGUGAAAAGAACCCCGAACAGGGGAGUGAAAUAGAACCUGAAACCAUACGCUUACAACCGGUCGGAGCAGCUUCGUGCUGUGACGGCGUGCCUAUUGAAUAAUGAGCCUACGAGUUACUAAUCACUAGCGAGGUUAAGUGCAAGGAUGCACGGAGCCGAAGCGAAAGCGAGUCUGAACAGGGCGUUUAGUUAGUGGUUGUAGACGCGAAACCUUGCGAUCUACCCUUGAGCAGGUUGAAGGUUGGGUAAAACCAACUGGAGGACCGAACGAAUAAGCGUUGAAAAGCUUCUCGAUGACUUGAGGGUAGGGGUGAAAGGCUAAUCAAGCUGGGAAAUAGCUCGUACUCCCCGAAAUGCCUUUAGGGGCAGCGUUGUAAUUGAGAGUCUACUGGAGGUAGAGCUACUGAUUGGAUGCGGGGGCUUCACCGCCUACCAAAUCCUGACAAACUCCGAAUGCCAGUAGUAUGAUUUACAGCAGUGAGCGACCGGGUGCUAAUGUCCGGUUACGAGAGUGGAACAACACAGACCAGCAACUAAGGUCCCCAAGAGUAUACUAAGUUGAUCUAACGAUGUUUUGCUGCAGAGACAGCUAGGAUGUUAGCUUGGAAGCAGCUAUUCAUUCAAAGAGUGCGUAACAGCUCACUAGUCGAGCGACAGAGCGUGGAUAAUAAACGGGCAUCAAGCAUAUCACCGAAGUUCUGGGCGCGAGAGCGCGGUAGGGGAGCAUUCCAUUCAGCGUCGAAGCAGUUUCGUGAGGAAUUGUGGAGCGUAUGGAAAAGCAAAUGUAGGCAUGAGUAACGAUAAUGCGGGAGAGUAACCCGCACACCGCAAGACCAAGGUUUCCUGAUCAACGCUAAUCGGAUCAGGGUUAGUCGGGUCCUAAGGGUAAGCCGAACGGUGAUCUCGAUGGAUAAUCGGUUAAUAUUCCGAUACUAACAUAUACCUCGAUGGAGAGACGAAGGAACGUAAGUGCCGCCACCUGACGGAAUAGGUGGUUAAAGGGCGUAGGUAUAGGGGCAGAUUAAGAGUUAGUCCUUGCUGAAACCUGACAGUACAGAGAGCCUACGGGCAAUUUGAUAGUGCACCCAAGUCGACUUCCGAGAAAAUCUUCUAAGUUAUAGUAUAUGUUACCCGUACCGUAAACCGACACAGGUGGUCGAGGAGAGUAUCCUAAGGUGCUCGAGUGAAUCACGGUUAAGGAACUAGGCAAAUUAACCCCGUAACUUCGGGAAAAGGGGUCCCUAUGAAAGUAGGGCGCAGCGAAGAGGUCCAGGCGACUGUUUAUCAAAAACACAGGGCUCUGCAAAUUCGAAAGAAGACGUAUAGGGCCUGACACCUGCCCGGUGCUGGAAGGUUAAGAGGGGAUGUCAUCGCAAGAGAAGCAUUGAAUCGAAGCCCCAGUAAACGGCGGCCGUAACUAUAACGGUCCUAAGGUAGCGAAAUUCCUUGUCGGGUAAGUUCCGACCUGCACGAAUGGUGUAACGAUCUGGACACUGUCUCAACCGUGAGCUCGGUGAAAUUGUAGUAUCGGUGAAGAUGCCGAUUACCCGC
rnacentral:rRNA from 1 species